AUCCGACUGACGAGUCCCAAACAGGACGAAACGCGCGUCCUGAAU
rnacentral:hammerhead_ribozyme from 1 species